rnacentral:rRNA from 1 species
GACGAACGCUGGCGGCGUGCUUAACACAUGCAAGUCGAACGGUGAAGCGCCUUCCUUUUUGGUGGGUGUGGAUGAGUGGCGAACGGUUGAGUAACACGUGAGUAACCUGCCCCCUUCUUCUGGAUAACCGCAUGAAAGUGUGGCUAAUACGGGAUAUUCUGGGUCUGUCGCAUGAUGGGUCUGGGAAAGAUAUUGUUUCUGUGGUGGAUGGGCUCGCGGCCUAUCAGCUUGUUGGUGGGUUGAGGGCCUUCCAGGGCGGUGACGGGUAGACGGCCUGAGAGGGUGGACGGUCAGAGUGGGACUGAGACAAGGCCGAGACUCCUACGGGAGGCAGCAGUGGGGAAUAUUGCACAAUGGGCGCAAGCCUGCUGCAGCGACGACGCGUGAGGGAUGGAGGCCUUCGGGUUGUGAACCUCUUUCGCCAGUGAAGCAGGCCUGCCUCGUUUGUGGGUGGGUUGACGGUAGCUGGAUAAGAAGCGCCGGCUAACUACGUG